rnacentral:rRNA from 1 species
GAUGAACGCUGGCGGCGUGCCUAAUACAUGCAAGUCGAGCGAACAGACGAGGAGCUUGCUCCUCUGACGUUAGCGGCGGACGGGUGAGUAACACGUGGAUAACCUACCUAUAAGACUGGGAUAACUUCGGGAAACCGGAGCUAAUACCGGAUAAUAUAUUGAACCGCAUGGUUCAAUAGUGAAAGACGGUUUUGCUGUCACUUAUAGAUGGAUCCGCGCCGCAUUAGCUAGUUGGUAAGGUAACGGCUUACCAAGGCGACGAUGCGUAGCCGACCUGAGAGGAUGAUCGGCCACACUGGAACUGAGACACGGUCCAGACUCCUACGGGAGGCAGCAGUAGGGAAUAUUCCGCAAUGGGCGAAAGCCUGACGGAGCAACGCCGCGUGAGUGAUGAAGGUCUUCGGAUCGUAAAGCUCUGUUAUUAGGGAAGAACAAAUGUGUAAGUAACUAUGCACGUCUUGACGGUACCUAAACAGAAAGCCACGGCUAACUACGUG